rnacentral:rRNA from 1 species
UACGAAGGGGGCUAGCGUUGUUCGGAUUUACUGGGCGUAAAGCGCACGUAGGCGGAUCGUUAAGUCGGGGGUGAAAUCCUGGAGCUCAAUUCCAGAACUGCCUUCGAUACUGGCGAUCUUGAGUCCGGAAGAGGUGAGUGGAACUCCUAGUGUAGAGGUGGAAUGCGCAGAUAUCAGGAAGAACACCGGUGGCGAAGGCGGCUCUCUGGGCCGUAACUGACGCUGAGGAGCGAAAGCGUGGGGAGCGAACAGG